UAGGGAAUCUUCCACAAUGGGCGCAAGCCUGAUGGAGCAACGCCGCGUGAGUGAAGAAGGGUUUCGGCUCGUAAAGCUCUGUUGUUAAAGAAGAACGUGGGUAAGAGUAACUGUUUACCCAGUGACGGUAUUUAACCAGAAAGCCACGGCUAACUACGUGCUAG
rnacentral:rRNA from 1 species